rnacentral:tRNA from 1 species
GCCUCCAUAGCUCAGCUGGUAGAGCAUCUGAUUUGUAAUCAGGAGGUCGGGAGUUCGAGUCUCUCUGGGGGCACCA